rnacentral:rRNA from 2 species
AAACUGAAGAGUUUGAUCAUGGCUCAGAUUGAACGCUGGCGGCAGGCUUAACACAUGCAAGUCGAGCGGUAACAGAGAGUAGCUUGCUACUUUGCUGACGAGCGGCGGACGGGUGAGUAAC